rnacentral:piRNA from 1 species
UGAAGCUCCCGAAAUUUCGAA